rnacentral:rRNA from 1 species
AACGAACGCUGGCGGCAUGCCUAACACAUGCAAGUCGAACGAGACCUUCGGGUCUAGUGGCGCACGGGUGCGUAACGCGUGGGAACCUGCCCUUAGGUUCGGAAUAACUCCCCGAAAGGGGUGCUAAUACCGGAUAAUGUCUUCGGACCAAAGAUUUAUCGCCUUUGGAUGGGCCCGCGUUGGAUUAGCUAGUUGGUAGGGUAAAAGCCUACCAAGGCGACGAUCCAUAGCUGGUCUGAUAGGAUGAUCAGCCACACUGGGACUGAGACACGGCCCAGACUGCUACGGGAGGCAGCAGUGCGGAAUAUUGGACAAUGGGCGAAAGCCUGAUCCAGCAAUGCCGCGUGAGUGAUGAAGGCCUUAGGGUUGUAAAGCUCUUUUACCCGGGAUGAUAAUGACAGUACCGGGAGAAUAAGCACCGGCUAACUCCGUG